rnacentral:rRNA from 1 species
UACGUAGGGGGCAAGCGUUAUCCGGAAUUAUUGGGCGUAAAGAGUGCGUAGGUGGUUUUGUAAGCGCGGGGUGAAAGGCUAUGGCUCAACCAUAGUAAGCCUUGCGAACUGUAAGACUUGAGUGCAGGAGAGGAAAGUGGAAUUCCUAGUGUAGCGGUGAAAUGCGUAGAUAUUAGGAGGAACACCAGUGGCGAAGGCGACUUUCUGGACUGUAACUGACACUGAGGCACGAAAGCGUGGGGAGCAAACAGGAUUAGAUACCCUGGUAGUCCACGCCGUAAACGAUGAGCACUAGGUGUCGGGGCCGCAAGGCUUCGGUGCCGCAGUUAACGCAUUAAGUGCUCCGCCUGGGGAGUACGCACGCAAGUGUGAA